GAGAUUCCAUUUUUUACGUUCCUUCUUCAUUCUCUAGCUGUGACUGGAAAACCGUAUCAACCUGUUGCAAGGUGCUUCUCUGAAGAAAAGGAAAGGAAAAUACUGACUUCGACUCCUUUUAUGAAAAGGUUCCUUGGUAAUGUUAAGUAUACUUUUUAGAUUAAUGGAAAAUUAAAAUAGUGAAUGAGACCUGAGAAUACUUUUUAAAACCAAUUUUUAG
rnacentral:lncRNA from 1 species